GAACCUGACUUUGCCUUCUGCAUUGAACCCUGCCUGGAUUACCAUCUUCUGGAAAGAAGCUAUUGAGCUCCAUGAACAAAGACUCAAGCCUCUUAUUACUUCAUUGGAUCACACCGGCUGGCAGCCUCCUGAUUCCUUCGUUCCUUGGAUCUCCUUCUACGAGCCCUGUCCACCCUCCUCCAUUCACUGCACCAACUUCAGAAACUAUUGGACCUACUAAACAUCCUGGCACACCAGUUGAUAGGUAUUAUUUAGUCAACUCAGAGUUUUCUCUCCUGAACAUCUGCAUCAAGAGACUUCUGUCCUAGGCCUACCAAGCACCCCAUGCAUUCUUAUUAUGGGUGGGCAGCUUUUUAAAGUUGCUGUUGAUCAAGUGAUUGUGAAUGACCAGAUAAAGUUCCCCACCGCAGCCCUGAGCUACACCUUUUCUAUGUUUUAAACAUAAAAUAUAGAGAUAGGGUGAGAAGCUCGGUCAUCCGGGAGGGGCUCAGAGUUGAGCCACUGCUUCUCCACGUUGAGAGGA